GAUUAACGCUAGCGGCAGGCCUAAUACAUGCAAGUCGAACGGGAUUCAAAGUAGCAAUAUUUUGAUGAGAGUGGCGCACGGGUGAGUAACACGUAUGCAAUUUACCUUUAACUGGGGGAUAGCCCUCCGAAAGGAGGAUUAAUACCGCAUAAUAUAUUGAAAUGGCAUCAUUUUAAUAUUAAACCUACGGGGGUUAAAGAUGAGCAUGCAUCCGAUUAGCUAGUUGGUGUGGUAACGGCUCACCAAGGCAACGAUCGGUAGGGGGUCUGAGAGGAUGAUCCCCCACACUGGUACUGAGACACGGACCAGACUCCUACGGGAGGCAGCAGUAAGGAAUAUUGGACAAUGGAGGCAACUCUGAUCCAGCCAUGCCGCGUGAAGGAUUAAGGCCCUAUGGGUUGUAAACUUCUUUUAGACGGGACAAAACCCCUUUACGUGUAAAGGGUUGAUGGUACUGUCAGAAUAAGCAUCGGCUAACUUCGUGCCAGCAGCCGCGGUAAGUCUCGCG
rnacentral:rRNA from 1 species